ensembl:lncRNA
GUGUUGCCAUAGUCUCCGAAGUUUGCUUUUAAAGCUCACUCACAGUUAGAAAAGUCAAGCAUCCAGACAUUUGAAGGACUAUUUGCACAUUAAGGUGACAUUUUCUAUUUUAAAAGUUCUCAAAACAUUAAGAUGAAAAAGGAAACAAGAAAAGUUACGACUGAGGCAGAUAAGAAAGAUCCAGGAGAUCAAAAUUGUAAGACCAGAAUGACAAAAAGAAAGGCCAGUCCUGAAAAGAAGACCCCCAUAAAAAGAAGGAGGGUCAGUGAGCAGGCUGGUCCUUCCACCAGCUCAGAUGCUCAUGUGAUCAAAGGAGUCAAGCGCAAGGUCCAACAAGAUGAAGCGGGGACAACCAAUACAGCAAAAAAGUGUAAACUUCUUGACCAUAUGAGCGGUGACAAGGGGCAAGCAUCUUCCUGGUUGGACACUGGUAAAGACUGCAGCAUAGACAUUUCAGAGAGCUGCAGUAAAAACCAAAACGCUGGCAAAAGGAAAGCUGCGGGAGACAGGAGGGACCCACCUAAGAAGAAGAACGUGGACCAGGACAAAACCAAAAAUGUUGCCAAAAAGUCAGUGGCCGAACAGAAACGUAAGUAGCAAGCAGCUUGGCUUUUAUAUUCAGGUGAAGACCAAAAUGAACAUUUAGGGUACAACAGAG